UAAAAAUUUGCUGUAACUCAUGCAGUAAAAUACUGUGAUUUACAACAGUAAUAUGUUGUAAUAACGAUUUUACGAUAAUUAACUGUAUAAGUACGUUGCUGUACAGUAUAUUGCUGUAAACAUCAGUGUCGUAGAGCAUGGGAACAAAUAUCUACAGUAAGCUAGUGUAAAGGAGCGUGCAAAAAGCAUUGUGGGAUACAGCGCACAUGCGCAUUAGGCGGAUCGGCUGCAUAUGCGCGUAUGCGUUGCACGUGAUUGGCUCCCGCGCUAGCCCGCCACGCCGCGCCGCCAUUUUUAAUUUUCUGCAAAGAUUUGAGCUGAGAUAUAUAGCUGAGCUGGCCGGCCUGAUCCUGAGCAACGAAUCUGAAUCUGUUCUGUUCCUGGUCCUGAUCCUCGAGCUGGGAUAUUGAUGACCAAUAAGUCAAUUCCAAGGGGAUCCGAGUAUGCCAUGGAUUACUGCUGAAGUCACACAGUGUGCAUGCUGAAACACUAAUCAGACGGAUGCUCUACAUGGACAUCAUAUACCCAUGUACGUUUGUAAGCUAUGUAAUCAUUCUUCUGGAUCAUUGAAGCGGUUUUCUGAACACUUUUCAGUCCAUAGAAAUGUGAAUUUCGAUUUCCCGUGUGGUGUUCCUGGCUGCAAUCGAACAUUCAGAAAUUAUUCAUCCUUCAAAACCCAUGUGCAUAGGGAUCAUCAACCA
rnacentral:lncRNA from 1 species